GGGUGUGAUCAUACUAGCACUAAUGGAAUGGAGCCCAUCAAAACUCCGUAGUUAAGCUUGCUCGGGCGAGAGUAAUACUAGGAUGGGUGACCUCCUGGGAGGUCCUCGUGCUGCACCCC
rnacentral:rRNA from 1 species